AUCGCUUCUUGGCCUUUUGGCUAAGAUCAAGUGUAGCAUCUGUUCUUAUCAGUUUAACAACAAGAUACUUUGAUUCCCAUGUUCAUUGCAGCAUUAUUUACAAUGGCAAGACACAGAAACCACCU
ensembl:snRNA U2 U2 spliceosomal RNA